GAACGCGAAGAACCUUACCAGGUCUUGACAUCCCUCUGACCACUCUAGAGAUAGAGUUUUCCUUCGGGACAGAGGUGACAGGUGGUGCAUGGUUGUCGUCAGCUCGUGUCGUGAGAUGUUGGGUUAAGUCCCGCAACGAGCGCAACCCCUAUUGUUAGUUGCCAUCAUUCAGUUGGGCACUCUAGCGAGACUGCCGGUAAUAAACCGGAGGAAGGUGGGGAUGACGUCAAAUCAUCAUGCCCCUUAUGACCUGGGCUACACACGUGCUACAAUGGCUGGUACAACGAGUCGCAAGUCGGUGACGGCAAGCUAAUCUCUUAAAGCCAGUCUCAGUUCGGAUUGUAGGCUGCAACUCGCUACAUGAAGUCGGAAUCGCUAGUAAUCGCGGAUCAGCACGCCGCGGUGAAUACGUUCCCGGGUCUUGUACACACC
rnacentral:rRNA from 1 species